AAGAAACAAGAAAAGAUAAUCGAAUUCAAUGUAUGAAGCAGUGCGGUGUCUCAGUCUUUGUUCUAAAUUUAGUUUUGAAAAAUAUUCGCGUUGAGUAGCAAAAAUACAGGUACAACACGGAAUGUAAACAUUGAAUAACAUUCAAUCCCAAAAAGCCGGUUAGGUCGUUGACUGGUUUUAAAACUAUGUGGCAUUCAUUAAAAACCAAUUGGUUGCCCAUCCGUCUUCAACAAUUAUUGCGGCAAUGCCAAUUAUAUUUUUGAAAAUUGCUCGUCUCACGGCCAUCAACUUCUGUACAGAAUAGAGGUUUGAUGAGAUUUGAACAAUUUUGGAUUCUGGAAAAAAAAUAAUCUGAUAAUUUUUACUGAAAUUGCAACUACCCAAAAUGGUUAUGAGUCAUGAACGUCCACUUACCAGACCUACAGUAGUUUUAGAGUUUCAAUACACUUUUCAACAAAACUAACUAAUUGUAGUAAGUAUACUACACAACU